UACGUAGGGCGCAAGCGUUGUCCGGAAUUAUUGGGCGUAAAGAGCUCGUAGGCGGUUUGUUACGUCCGCUGUGAAAACCCAGGGCUUAACCCUGGGCUUGCAGUGGAUACGGGCAGACUAGAGGUAGGUAGGGGAGAAUGGAAUUCCCGGUGUAGCGGUGAAAUGCGCAGAUAUCGGGAGGAACACCGGUGGCGAAGGCGGCAUCCUGGACCGAUAUUGACGCUGAGGAGCGAAAGCCAGGGGGAGCAAACGGG
rnacentral:rRNA from 1 species